rnacentral:rRNA from 1 species
AUACGGAAGGUGCAAGCGUUAAUCGGAAUCACUGGGCGUAAAGCGCUCGUAGGUGGCUUUGUAAGUCAGGUGUGAAAGCCCACGGCUCAACCGUGGAAUUGCACUUGAUACUGCAUUGCUUGAGUUCGGGAGAGGGUAGUGGAAUUCCAGGUGUAGGAGUGAAAUCCGUAGAGAUCUGGAGGAACACCAGUGGCGAAGGCGACUACCUGGAACGGACCUGACGGUGAGUAACGAAAGCCAGGGGCGC